GGUUCUGAGUUUAGUGGCCGUUGUCGAGUGUUUGUGAAGGAAUGUAAUAAUGAAAAGAUGAGACUAUGUGGCUAGCUAGAGUCGUAAAUGUUUUUCACAUUUCUCUUUUGAACGACGACAGGAAAUGUGUUGCUUCGCAUCUGAUCAAUGAACUCACGAAUUUUCUUUUUCUUUUUGCGAACAAUGAACUCAGGAUUUGAUGGCUGGAAGGUUGGUGGUGUCUCAGCUUUGGUUGCUUCAUUUGAACCUCAGUUGACAUGAAUCACACUUCAGAAAUCAUAUGUGCGUGUCAAUCAGACAUGUUCAUUAUAUCUACAAAUGUAUCUGUUGUAUUCUUCAUAUUGUGCACCCUUUUAAGCUCAGAACUUUCAUCUGUACUUAAUCCAUCAACGGAUAGUGGCCAAAUAAUUUUAUGCCAUUGGUUGUUUAAACAGGGCAUCCAGGAUGCACCUUCUGCAAGUGAGGCUGAAUCGGUGGACACAGAACAAAUAAACAACAUUGGACAACCGAAGAGGUGUUUGAACGAAUUGAUGGUCUGGAAGAAUUUGGAGCUAGACGUUGGUCUGAGAUAAUAAAGAAAUAUUUUUCAGCGUCAGUUUGAACUGCGGUCAAUCUUAAGGUUUAUGUUUGGUGCAUUUGUCUCAUGUUGAUGUUACCUUGUCUCGCCGACAUCAAAUUAUUUGCCCUAGGUCCGCUACUAGUACAAUCUAGCAGUGCCUGGAAACAUGAUGUGUGGCUACCUCAUGUUCGCUGAAUAUGUAAGAGUUGUCCCCUAUGUUACUGUACAGAUCGUUCAACAACUGGUGAUGUUUGGAAAGGGUCUCGUUGUUGUUGCACAUGCAUGUCAAGCAAAAGGUUCUUAAGGGUGACUCAGAUAUGUUUCUACAUUCUGGUUCCAAAAUGGCACAAGGAUAUUCAGCACAUGAGAACCUCUUCUGCAAGUUCAAAUUAUUUCAAAAUAAUAGCUAAGCAGCUUAAGAUCUAGAACCGUACACAGAAAUACGAAGGAUGGUGGACUGUUGUACAACACAAAUCAUCCAAAAGAAAUCAGUCAUCGCACAUCAAGUCUGUCAAAAAUGGCAUCAAAUGCACAACUGAACCCUGAACAGAAAAUUUCGACUGAACAAUGGCACUGAGUACAAAAUAUAACCUUGAAUAGAAAAUGACCUCCAAGUUCAUUUUUCUAACUUUGACUAACAAGCAAAUCGAAGCACUAUGAUCAGUUCAGCACAACACGGUCCCACCCUAUCUCCGUUUAUUGUGCACGCUCCUUCGGCUUUCUUCUGCGUAGUCGUGUGGUUUCUUCCCCACUCGAUUUGGAUAGAAUAUGUUGUGUCGUCCUCUUCCUCACUUCAUGCUAACUCGGCUCCCCAUCGACAUGCUGAGCCAUCAUAUUGGAAUGAGCAGAAGAUCACAUGCUUCAUGCUGACCUUCAGGAAAUGGAUCAAUCUACCGUCCGUCAUCUUUGUAUCAAACCAAGGGAUCCCAUCCCAUGUUCCACCCUGGCCUUCAAAAGAAUGAACCAAUGAGUCGGAAGAUUCAGCUACCAACAUAUCUUAAUGUAGACCCUAGAAAAAUGAUAUCUUAAUGUAUGAUAAUAUAAAUACUUACAGUAUCUUGUCAUGCACAUUAGUUGUAAAACAACUAAGCAUUUGUUAAAUCUUUAGAUUCAUCUGUGGAAUUAUGCAAGAUGCUAGUGCAUCUACACCAUUGUUUCGUGAAUAGUUCAGCAGAGAAGAGUGCAUCAAGGCAAAACAAUAACUACAACUGAAAAGCAUAAAAAUAACCAUGUCCACACAUCAAAACAUAAAAUUAUGACCUACACAUAAGAUCUUUUGAAUUGUUACUACUCCCACAAUUACAUGUCGAUAUAUAUUGUUGGCGUCUGUACUGUGUAGGUCCAAUAACAAAAUAGAAUGUUUUUUAGAUAAUGGCAUCUUCUGCGUGGCAUUCACAACAGAAACAAGGAAUGCCUAAUCUGGUUUUUGUAUUUUAGCAUAGGGAACUGAGAUAAGCUGUUCUUUGUACAGAGAGUAGGCAUUAGUAAAAUUAUAUUAAAAAGCUAUAAUUCAACUGCACCAAACUCCACUGUUAAGCAUCAAAACGACGGAACAAAUAUUUAACUCCACUGUUAAACAAAUGAAGAAGCACUGCCAUUUGGUAAUUCACAGCUCUUAACAGUUCUAUCUAGCAAAUCUGAGGCCAAGAAACUCAACUCCACGUUAAGCAUCAAAACGACGGAACAAAUAUUCCGAGUCCAAGCUCCGCAGGCGUUUGAGUAGCCGGAUUUGCCAAGUCUGGUUGCAGAUGCUCUUCAGGGUACAGAGUGCACACCCACCUCACACAAUAGAUUUUAUAUGUGCCGGCUCAUAUAAGGUGUUAAACUAACACGAAGCUCUAGCGGGGAAGAUCGCUUCAACUUUCGGGUUUUUUCGAUUUUGGGAAGCUUCUAAUAGCUUCCAGACAGGAAUAUUUUUUGCUGGGUUUCAUGGGUUUGAUUGGCCGGUUAUAAUGGGUUUUUUAUUUUUUUUCUCUUUUUUUUAAAUCAUGAACUUUUUCAAAUUCAUGAUCAAUUUUUUGAAAUUUGGGAACUUUUUCAACUUCAUGAACAUUUUUUGAAUCCACGAAAUUUUUCCAAACUCAUGAUUUUUUUUUCAAAUUUAGAAUCAUGAAAUGUUUGCAUAUGUACAAACUUUUUUUUCAAAUUUAGAAUCAUGAACUUUUUUGAGAUGCAUAUACUUCUUUGAAUUCACAAACUUUUUAAAAAAAUUUGGAACCAUGAUUUUUUUUUCAGAUGCAUGAUUUUCUUUUUGAAUUCAUGAACUUUUCAAAUUUAAAACCGUGAACCUUUUUAGAUGCAUGAAAUUUUUUUGAUUCCCCAAAUUGGUAUCAAAUUCAUAAUUGUGAACAUUUUUGAAUUCAUUAACUGUUUUCAAGAUCGUGAACUUUUUCAAAUGCACAGACUUUUUCCAUUUUCGUGUUUUUUAAUGGCCAAACGGGAAACUAGUCAACUAGUCAAUGAUGAAAUGGUGAACUGGUCAAUGGUCAAAUUGAUUAAAAAAGCAACCGAGACGCAUGAGCAAGUGUUCCUGUGUGUGCAACGAGAGCUGGGACACGAUGUACUUCAUCGAGGGUGUUGUUGCCUCUUGCCUGCUGCUUGAUACUGUUGCCUACUGCUUGAUGCUGCCUGUUGAUCUUACUUUUAAAAAAAAAAGGAGGAUGUAUCCCCGGUAUCUGCAUCUGAACGAUGCAUGCAGUCAUAUUAUUAAUUAUUCUGAAG
rnacentral:lncRNA from 1 species